rnacentral:lncRNA from 1 species
AAAGUGGCAGCCCGCCGCGCUGCUCAGCCCCUGGGGUCCCUCACCCCACUCAGGCAGACGACAGCCAGAGUGGGUCAAAGUGGCAACCCGCCGCGCAGCUCAGCCCUGGGGGCCCAACCCUGACUCAGGCGGCAGACCACCAGAAUGGUGAAAGUGGCAGCCCGCUGCGCUGCCCAGCCCGGGCGGGCCCCCCUCUACUCAGGCGGCCGACAGCCAGACUGGGUCAAAGUGGCAGCCCGCCGUGCUGCUCAUCCCUGGGGGACCCACGCCCACUCAGGCGGCCGACCGCAAGUGUUAGUCAAAGUGGCAGCCCGCUGCGCUGCUCAGCCCUGGGG